rnacentral:lncRNA from 10 species
AAGUGCGGGCGCUCAGGGAGCUGUCACCGUGGUCGGCGGCGGCGGCGGCGGCGGCGGCACAGAGCCGGUGGUGGAGCCGCCGAGGCCACCUCGUGUAUGCAGAGACCAUGUGUGUCUGAUCUGCUGGGAUCCUAGAGCUGGAACAGGCCAAGUGAUAUUGUGAAAAGAACACUGGACAGCAAGACAGGAGACCUUGGAUCUGCCACUCACUGACUGUGAGCACCCCGAGCAGAAGGCAGACCGGUAUUUUGUGUUAUACAAACCGCCCCCUAAAGACAACAUUCCCGCCCUAGUGGAGGAGUACCUGGAACGCGCCACCUUCGUAGCCAAUGACCUCGACUGGCUCCUGGCCUUGCCUCACGAUAAAUUCUGGUGCCAGGUGAUCUUUGACGAGACUCUACAGAAGUGCCUGGACUCCUACCUGCGCUAUGUCCCCCGCAAAUUCGACGAGGGGGUGGCCUCAGCCCCUGAGGUUGUUGACAUGCAGAAGCGCCUCCAUCGAAGUGUUUUUCUCACCUUCCUCCGCAUG